CGCCAGCCCGCUCAGAAACUCAAAUGAAUUGACGGGGGCCCGCACAAGCGGUGGAGCAUGUGGUUUAAUUCGAUGAUACGCGAGGAACCUUACCUGGGCUCAAAUGUAUGUUGACGUAUUCUGAAAGGGAUACUUCUUCGGACAAUAUACAAGGUGCUGCAUGGUUGUCGUCAGCUCGUGCCGUGAGGUGUCGGGUUAAGUCCCAUAACGAGCGCAACCCCUAUCAUUAGUUGCCAUCAGGUCAAGCUGGGGACUCUAAUGAAACUGCCUACGCAAGUAGUGAGGAAGGUGGGGAUGACGUCAAAUCAGCACGGCCCUUACGUCCAGGGCUACACACGUGCUACAAUGGCCGGUACAAAGGGCAGCUACCUGGUGACAGGAUGCUAAUCUCAAAAGCCGGUCUCAGUUCGGAUCGGAGUCUGCAACCCGACUCCGUGAAGUUGGAUUCGCUAGUAAUCGCGCAUCAGCCAUGGCGCGGUGAAUACGUUCCCGGGCCUU
rnacentral:rRNA from 1 species